rnacentral:rRNA from 1 species
UGCAGUCGUGCGAGAAAGAUCUUCGGAUAUGAGUAGAGCGGCGGACGGGUGAGUAACGCGUAGGAAUCUACCUAGUAGAAGGGGAUAGCCCGGGGAAACUCGGAUUAAUACCGUAUACCUCCUUUGGGAGAAAGAAGGCCUCUCUUUGAAGCUUUCGCUACUAGAUGAGCCUGCGUAAGAUUAGCUUGUUGGUGAGGUAAAGGCUCACCAAGGCGACGAUCUUUAGCGGGUCUGAGAGGACGAUCCGCCACAUUGGGACUGAGACACGGCCCAGACUCCUACGGGAGGCAGCAGUGGGGAAUAUUGGACAAUGGGCGCAAGCCUGAUCCAGCCAUACCGCGUGUGUGAAGAAGGCCCUAGGGUUGUAAAGCACUUUAAGUUGGGAAGAAAAGUUAUUGGUUAAUACCCAAUGACCGUGACAUUACCUUCAGAAUAAGGACCGGCUAAUUCCGUGCCAGCAGCCGCGGUAAUACGGAAGGUCCGAGCGUUAAUCGGAAUUACUGGGCGUAAAGCGCGCGUAGGUGGUUUAUUAAGUUGGAUGUGAAAUCCCCGGGCUCAACCUGGGAACUGCAUCCAAAACUGAUUCGCUAGAGUACGAUAGAGGGAGGUAGAGUUCACAGUGUAGCGGUGGAAUGCGUAGAUAUUGUGAAGAAUACCAAUGGCGAAGGCAGCCUCCUGGAUCUGUACUGACACUAAGGUGCGAAAGCGUGGGUAGCGAACAGGAUUAGAUACCCUGGUAGUCCACGCCGUANACGAUGUCAACUAGCUGUUGGGAAACUAUGUUUUUCAGUGGCGCAGCUAACGUAGUAAGUUGACCGCCUGGGGUGUACGGCCGCAAGGCUAAAACUCAAAUGAAUUGACGGGGACCCGCACAAGCGGUGGAGCAUGUGGUUUAAUUCGAUGCAACGCGAAAAACCUUACCUAUAC